UCACACAGGACUGCUGGUAUUAAGCCGGAGGAAGUGGGGACGACGUCAAGUCAGCAUGACCUUUAUAUCCAGGGCUACACACACGCUACAAUGGUCAGUACAAUGGGUUGCCAAGCUGCGAGGCGGAGCCAAUCCUAAAAAGCUGGCCUCAGUUCAGAUUGCAGUCUGAAACUCGACUGCAUGAAGUCGGAGUUGCUAGUAAACGCAGGUCAGCUAUACUGCGUUGAAUACGUUCCCGGGGCUU
rnacentral:rRNA from 1 species